GGGGGGGGGGGGCGGGGUGGCUGGGGCAGGCGGGGCGGGGGGACAGGCGAGGAGGUUGCUCGUGUGGCGGUAGGGGGGGGCGGGUGAGUAGCACGUGGGUAACCUCCCUAUAAGACUGGGAUAACUUCGGUAGACCGGAGCUAAUACCGGAUACUAUAGUGAAACGCAUGGUUAAAUAGUGAAAGACGGUUUUGCUGUCACGUAUAGAUGGCUCCGCGCCGCAUUAGCUAUUUGGUAAGGUACCGGCUUACCAAGGCAACGAUGCGUAGCCGACCUGAGAGGGUGAUCGGCCACACUGGAACUGAGACACGGUCCAGACUCCUACGGGAGGCAGCAGUAGGGAAUCUUCCGCAAUGGGCGAAAGCUUGACGGAGCAACGCCGCGUGAGUGAUGAAGGUCUUCGGAUCGUAAAACUCUGUUAUUAGGGAAGAACAAAUGUGUAAGUAACUAUGCACGUCUUGACGGUACCUAAUCAGAAAGCCACGGCUAACUACGUG
rnacentral:rRNA from 1 species